AGUUUCCAUGCUCCUUAGGAAUUGCCACCCCCACAAGGCCACUAUGCUGGGCAGAAACCAUUAGCAGGGCAGAACAGGUCCUGGAACCUAUUUUAAAGGGCCAGAUUAACCUGUAACAGGGGGUACUGUGGCAAUGGAGUUCCAGCAUUGGAGGAUACACUGACUCCUUGGAGGGCUUUAAUUGGAAGUUGCUGUUUAUCUUUGUUUCUUACAUGUUAACAAGAAACUCACUAAUAAAAGGUAAGCCACAAAUACAGCUGCUGGAAUAUGGUACCUGGGAUGAAUUUUAUAAAAGCAGUAACAUUAGAAGAUUUAUGAAGCAAGCAAUGGAAGAUGCAAGCAGAUAGAUCUAGGAUUUCAGCAGAAGUAUUUGAAAUGGAAAAAUAUACUAUGUUUUUCACUAUGUAAGGCACAUUC